UCACUUUUCAAUCGUUAUUAUUAUAGAUAUUAUAUAGAUUAAUAAUUGUUCUCAUUCGAUGAGCGUCCAGUGACUCUACAUUUAUCAACAUUAGGAAAGUUACCAACAUUAGAUUGCACAAUUCUUUUAUAGAGAGAGAGACUUAAGUGAGAACUCAGCUGUUCGCGUCCGUCGCGUCAUCGCGUUUCGUGUGCCGCUCUUGCGGUCCCUAUGUCAGUGUAUUUUUAAAAUUUUGUGUCGAAUAGUUAAUAAAAAUCAUCAUCAUGGUGUCCAGCACAUUUGAGCUUAACAGAUUGAUGAACGAGUUAGAGAUAACCGAACUAGAGGGUAUUAAUUCUUCGAAAUAUACACCUGCAAAAGUUUAUAUGCGACUGCUGGCUAUCUAUCUUCAUCAGAAUGAUCUGUGCAACGCAAAGUACCUUUGGAAGCGAAUUCCCGCGGACGUGAAGACCGCCCACGAGGAGCUCGGACGAGUGUGGACGGUAGGGCAAUACAUGUGGCAGCGUAACUGGCCCGCGGUUCACACGGCCCUUAACGUAGAGUGGAGCGACGACAUCAAAGACCUUAUGAUAGCCCUAAAAGACAAUGUACGAGAACGGCUAAUGAGGCUGAUAUCAAAGGCGUAUUCCUCUCUAAACUUGUCGACCAUGGCGACGAUGAGCGGAAUGUCGUUGGACGAGGCGCGGCAGGCCGCGAUCGACAGGGGCUGGAACGUUGACGGUACCAUAGUGCAGCCGUGCAAACAGAUCGACGAGGAACAGUACAAUCAAUCGGAUAAGAUCUGCCUGACGGAGGAGCAGCUGCAGAAGCUCACGCAGUUUGUGUCCUUCCUGGAGAAUUGAGGGGGCUCCGCUGUUCCCUGGAUCUCCCGGGUUGCCGUGCGGUCUCUGGAUGACGGACUUUGCAUAUAACUCCUCUCGCAAUCUCGCCUCGUAAUCCUAUUAUAUAAAGGAGGAAGUGCGCGCCAAAGGUAGCAUCAUCGGUGUUCGCGUUCGUAAAAUAAGCAUAUCCCAUGAGAGAAAUUGAGAGGGGAGAAUGAGGGAGAGAGGGGGGAGGAGGGAGAACGAGAGAGAAGAGGGAAAGUGACAGAGAUAGAGACAGAGAGUCUACCCACGCGAUUUGUCCGUUCGAUCGGAAGGAUAAUUCAAUGAAGCUCCUCGCAAGCGUGGAAUCAACAACUAUAUUAAUCGAUAAUCAGCUGUGCGUGCGAGAGGGCGGACUGGCAUUUGCGGAAAGGGAUCCUCCGGCAGGAGCACUCCUCUCCUCUCGUCUUGUCUCCGUUCCGUCCUUUGCCGCUCCUCUCCUCCACUCGCUGUUGAAUCCCAUGAAAAUACACUGCCGUUCGCGACCGUUCGCAUCGCUGUAAUUAUCAAAGCGGAUCGUGGCCGCAGUAAGAAUCGCGCAGGUAGCCGUUAACGUACCUCGCAGGUGGCGACAGCGCACACCUCUCUCUCUUCAGCGCGGACACGCGCGGCGUGCGAACGUGUUAUCACGCGUGGACUCUUCGUACGUAGCGUAUUUUCUUCGAGUCGAAAUAAAAGAGGAAAGGAAGUCGAGAGAAAAGUAAGAAAAAGGACUGGAACUGUUUCGAGCGGCGGAUUGCCCCGCUGGAUUUUGAUAAAGUGUGUUACAGCAGCAACAACUUCUAAACAGCGCGCCUUUACCAAAUUCUCACACCUGUGGUCCCGACAUUUCGCGAAGCGUCGGAAAACGUGAGAAUCGCCACGAAGAUCUACCACCAUUAAUUUCUAUUCGCGAAACGAUUGUUUCGAUUUUUGCUGAUCGCGCCAUGGUGCACUCGACUUGGACCGCGCGCGCGAAUAUUUCGCUGGGAAUAUGCAUGCUAACGAGAGAAGUUGAAACGCUCUCCUCGGCGCUUGGAUUCACUUCUAUUAUGCGGAAUAGAAUGCAUAUCAUGCUGUGUACCCUCCGGAGUCACGAAGGUGAAAGCUUUUGUAACGCCGCCUUUUUUAGUACAGUAUAAAAGUCGUGCUUUUAUAGAAAGUGCUUUUCCUUCGUGAUUUCUCAGAGAUGACGAAGGGAGGGAAAUUUUUGUUUAUAAAAUGUGUUAAUUAAAAAAAUGUAUUAUAUUAAAUGAUUUGUUGGACGUGAACAAACUUUUUGCACGAGUCACAAUGUAUAGUAUAUAAAAUUUUACACGAAUAAUUUAUUUAUAAUGUGAUUAAUAAUGUGCAUGAACAGAAUAAAAAUAAUUAUGAAAUGUAA
rnacentral:misc_RNA from 1 species